rnacentral:rRNA from 1 species
UGGGGAAUUUUGGACAAUGGGCGAAAGCCUGAUCCAGCAAUGCCGCGUGUGUGAAGAAGGCCUUCGGGUUGUAAAGCACUUUUGUCCGGAAAGAAAUGGCUCUGGUUAAUACCUGGGGUCGAUGACGGUACCGUAAGAAUAAGGACCGGCUAACUACGUGCCAGCAGCCGCGGUAAUACGUAGGGUCCAAGCGUUAAUCGGAAUUACUGGGCGUAAAGCGUGCGCAGGCGGUUGUGCAAGACCGAUGUGAAAUCCCCGAGCUUAACUUGGGAAUUGCAUUGGUGACUGCACGGCUAGAGUGUGUCAGAGGGGGGUAGAAUUCCACGUGUAGCAGUGAAAUGCGUAGAGAUGUGGAGGAAUACCGAUGGCGAAGGCAGCCCCCUGGGAUAACACUGACGCUCAUGCACGAAAGCGUGGGGAGCAAACAGG